rnacentral:rRNA from 1 species
GACGAACGCUGGCGGCGUGCUUAACACAUGCAAGUCGAACGGAAAGGCCCUGCUUGCAGGGUACUCGAGUGGCGAACGGGUGAGUAACACGUGGGUGAUCUGCCCUGCACUUCGGGAUAAGCCUGGGAAACUGGGUCUAAUACCGGAUAGGAGCCAUCUUUAGUGUGAUGGUUGGAAAGUUUUUUCGGUGUAGGAUGAGCUCGCGGCCUAUCAGCUUGUUGGUGGGGUAAUGGCCUACCAAGGCGGCGACGGGUAGCCGGCCUGAGGGGGUGGACGGCCACAGUGGGACCGGGAUAAGGGCCAGACUCCUACGGGAGGCAGGCGUGGGGAAUAUUGCACAAUGGGGGCAAGCCUGAUGCAGCGACGCCGCGUGGGGGAUGACGGCCUUCGGGUUGUAAACUCCUUUCGCUAGGGACGAAGCUUUUUGUGACGGUACCUAGAUAAGAAGCACCGGCUAACUACGUG